CUCAGAUUGAACGCUGGCGGCAGGCCUAACACAUGCAAGUCGAGCGGCAGCGGGAAAGUAGCUUGCUACUUUUGCCGGCGAGCGGCGGACGGGUGAGUAAUGCCUGGGGAUCUGCCCAGUCGAGGGGGAUAACAGUUGGAAACGACUGCUAAUACCGCAUACGCCCUACGGGGGAAAGGAGGGGACCUUCGGGCCUUUCGCGAUUGGAUGAACCCAGGUGGGAUUAGCUAGUUGGUGGGGUAAUGGCUCACCAAGGCGACGAUCCCUAGCUGGUYWGAGAGGAUGAUCAGCCACACUGGAACUGAGACACGGUCCAGACUCCUACGGGAGGCAGCAGUGGGGAAUAUUGCACAAUGGGGGAAACCCUGAUGCAGCCAUGCCGCGUGUGUGAAGAAGGCCUUCGGGUUGUAAAGCACUUUCAGCGAGGAGGAAAGGUUGGCG
rnacentral:rRNA from 1 species